UACGAAGGUGGCAAGCGUUACUCGGAAUUACUAGGCGUAAAGGGCAGGUAGGUGGUUUGGUAAGUCUGUUGUGAAAGCUCCCGGCUUAACUGGGAGAGGUCAACGGGUACUACCAGGCUUGAGUAUAGGAGAGGUUACUGGAAUUCCCGGUGUAGCGGUGAAAUGCGCAGAGAUCGGGAGGAACACCAAUGGCGAAAGCAGGUAACUGGACUAUUACUGACACUCAACUGCGAAAGCUAGGGGAGCAAACAGG
rnacentral:misc_RNA from 1 species